rnacentral:rRNA from 1 species
GACGAACGCUGGCGGCGUGCCUAAUACAUGCAAGUCGAACGCACUGGGGACGGGUGAGUAACACGUGGGUAACCUCCCAUCAGAGGGGAUAACACUUGGAAACAAGUGCUAAACCGUUACUGAUGGAUGAACCCGCGGUGCAUUAGAUCGUGGGUGGGGUAACGGCUCACCAAGGCAACGAUGCAUAGCCGAGCGGUGAGGGGGGUAGGCUACACUGGGACGGAGACACGGCCCAGACUCCUACGGGAGGCGGGAGUAGGGAAUCGUAGGUAAUUGACGGAAGUCUGACCGAGCAACGCCGCGUGAGGGAAGGAGGUUUGCGGAUAGUAAAACUCUGUUGUUAGAGAAGCGGUAUCUAACCAGAAAGCCACGGCUAACUACGUGCCAGCAGCCGCGGUAAUAC